UUCACGAAAGUUAACGUGUUUAUCGUUGUUUUACUUUACCGACUCAGACGUGUGCGGUGGACACCACAGACAUAAUAAGAAAAGAACACAGAAGAGAAGAAUAUCCGGUCAGCUCCCUGCAGAAGCUAAAUGUGAAAAGAGCUAAAGAGGCGUGCCUGGCAAGUACAAGCAGGAGAGGACAGACGCAGAGACUGCCAGCAAAAAUCGUCUUUCUUGAAGCGGGAUAAUCCCAACAGUGAUUUCUGCUGCGUGCCUCAAUGCGCGAUGUCAGGGAAGUUCAACUCCACCGUGAGUUUCCACCACUUCCCAAAGAAAGAAACCAUAAGAAAAAUAUGGAUACGUAAUGUGAGACGUGAUAAUUUGGUAAUUAAGAGGACCACCACAGUCUGUAGUAGACAUUUCGUCUCCACGGAUGUCAUUCAAGGUGGACGACGACGCUUGAAAGAGGGGGCUGUGCCCGUGUUGUUCGCCUGGAACGACUACUCUCUGCCGGCAGUCAGACCAAGUGUCUGGGAUAGAACACAACGACCAGAGGAUGAAUCAACUGAAGAGGAACAGAUGGAUGUUGAACUGUUGCUUCAGUGCCAUGAUUACGAUGCAAAACCAGAACCAUCAGCUUUGGAUAUAGCAUGUGAGAAAAUAGAGGCCCAGCAGCAGGUGAUAGAGGAGAUGCAAAAGAGAAUGGCUGAGGUUACACUGAAGCAGUCUCUAUACCAGGAGUUUUAGAUGUCAACCUGCAGAGUAAAACAGUGCCAUAUCCAACGUAGUGCGGUACAGCAGACCUGAACCGGAUGUGGUGAGACCUGUUUCGCAGAAUGCGGAAAGCUUCCUGGGAUCGUUGCCUCACUCAGACGGCUUAGAGGCCACGAAAACCUCAAAGGACCAGCUGGACCCUCACAAGCUCGAUGCACACGAUCACUGUUUUUGCUCUCACUACAUGUCAACGGGGUCAGACUAAAUAAACAAAUAUUCUUGUGAAAAAAAUUAUUUUAUUUAAAAUAUUGUUACAUUAAAGUAGCAUUAUGUAG